GACGAACGCUGGCGGCGUGCUUAACACAUGCAAGUCGAACGGAAAGGCCCUGCUUUUGUGGGGUGCUCGAGUGGCGAACGGGUGAGUAACACGUGAGUAACCUGCCCUUGACUUUGGGAUAACUUAAGGAAACUGGGGCUAAUACCGGAUAGGAGUUCCUGCUGCAUGGUGGGGGUUGGACAGUUUCGGCGGUUGGGGAUGGACUCGCGGCUUAUCAGCUUGUUGGUGGGGUAGUGGCUUACCAAGGCUUUGACGGGUAGCCGGCCUGAGAGGGUGACCGGCCACAUUAGGUCUGGAAUGCGGCACAGACUCCUACGGGAGGCAGGGGUGGGGAAUAUUGCACAAUGGGCGGAAGCCUGAUGCAGCAACGCCGCGUGGGGGAUGACGGCCUUCGGGUUGUAAACCGCUUUCGCCUGUGACGAAGCGUGAGUGACGGUAAUGGGUAAAGAAGCACCGGCUAACUACGUG
rnacentral:rRNA from 1 species